AGACAUGAUCAAACUCUACGACUUGUUACCUUGUUACGACUUAGCCCUAGUUACCAGUUUUACCCUAGGCCUCUUCGGAGGGUGUAUAAAGUGGCGCACGGGUGAGUAACACGUAAGUAAUCUACCCUCGGGUGGGGAAUAACAACCGGAAACGGUUGCUAAUACCGCAUAAUGCAGCGGCUCCUUAUGGAGACAGUUGUUAAAGGAUUUAUUCGCCUGAGGAGGAGCUUGCGGCAAAUUAGCUAGUUGGUAAGGUAAUGGCUUACCAAGGCUACGAUCUGUAGCCGGUCUAAGAGGACGGUCGGUCACACUGACACUGAAUAACGGGUCAGACUCCUACGGGAGGCAGCAGUCGGGAAUUUUGGGCAAUGGGCGAAAGCCUGACCCAGCAACGCCGCGUGAAGGAUGAAGUAUUUCGGUAUGUAAACUUCGAAAGAAUAGGAAGAAUUAAUGACGGUACUAUUUAUAAGGUCCGGCUAACUACGUGCCAGCAGCCGCGGUAAUACGUAGGGACCAAGCGUUGUUCGGAUUUACUGGGCGUAAAGGGCGCGUAGGCGGCAUGACAAGUCACUUGUGAAAUCUCUGGGCUUAACUCAGAACGGCCAAGUGAUACUGUCGCGCUAGAGUGCAGAAAGGGCAAUCGGAAUUCUUGGUGUAGCGGUGGAAUGCGUAGAUAUCAAGAGGACACCUGAGGCGAAGGCGGGUUGCUAGGCUGACACUGACGCUGAGGCGCGAAAGCCAGGGGA
rnacentral:rRNA from 1 species